CUACAUAUACUUACUAUUGCGUUGCGAAAUUUCACCAAGCAACCUCAAAGCACGAGCCUGAGUGAACUCUUCUCUUUCCCCAUCAGUUGCUGUGGUCAUAGAAUAAUGCGAGCACCCCAUUGAGAAAAUCUGUCACAAAGUGAGCCAUGGACACCUGAGUAUUGGCCAAAAUAAAAUUUACGAGUGGUUCAUGGAAAUAAAAUAAAAUAUAAAUAAUUAUUAAAUAAUUUGAUUCAUGGAAUGGAAUUGACAUACUCAACAUACUUUAAUAUUUGAAUUAUAAUUUUUUUUUUAUAAUUUAAAAGAGCUUACAUUUUCCAAGAGAAAGUUACCAAAUGAGUUAGGAAAAGAUAGUUACCAUACCUGGUUAAUAUAAUUUGUGAGGUUUCAAACAACCAUUUUCCGUCUAUGCGCCCUUUCCAAAAACAAGCAGAAGCCAUUGGCA
rnacentral:lncRNA from 1 species